AAUCAACGCUGGCGGCGUGCCUAACACAUGCAAGUCGAACGCGAAAAGGGCUUCGGCUCUUAGUAGAGUGGCGAACGGGUGAGUAACACGUGGGUGACCUACCUUUGAAUGGGGGAUAACGUCCCGAAGGGACGCUAAUACCGCAUAACAUCCUGCCUUUGAACAGGUGGAGAUCAAAGCCGGGGAUCGCAAGACCUGGCGUUUGGAGAGGGGCCCGCGUCUGAUUAGCUAGUUGGUGAGGAACGGCCCACCAAGGCGACGAUCAGUAUCCGGCCUGAGAGGGCGGACGGACACACUGGGACUGAGACACGGCCCAGACUCCUACGGGAGGCAGCAGUGGGGAAUUGUUCGCAAUGGGCGCAAGCCUGACGACGCAACGCCGCGUGGAGGAUGAAGGUCUUCGGAUUGUAAACUCCUGUUGCUCGGGAACGAAAAGCUUCGACCUAACACGUCGAAGUCUGACGGUACCGGGUGAGGAAGCCCCGGCUAACUCUGU
rnacentral:rRNA from 1 species